CCUACGGGAGGCAGCAGUGAGGAAUAUUGGUCAAUGGUCGCGAGACUGAACCAGCCAUGCCGCGUGCGGGAGGACGGUUCAGAGUAUUGUAAACUUCUUUUGUCAGGGGACAAACACAGGGACGCGUCUCUGUCUGAAAGUAUCUGAAGAAAAAGGAUCGGCUAACUCCGUGCCAGCAGCCGCGGUAAUACGGAGGAUUCAAGCGUUAUCCGGAUUUAUUGGGUUUAAAGGGUGCGUAGGCGGUCGGUUAAGUUAGGGGUGAAAGCCCGAGGCCCAACCUCGGACCUGCCGUUGAUACUGGCAGGCUCGAGAUGAGGUGAGGUAUGCGGAAUGCACGGUGUAGCGGUGAAAUGCAUAGAGAUCGCACAGAACACCGAUUGCGAAGGCAGCAUGCC
rnacentral:rRNA from 1 species